AACCUCCGCAAUGUGAGAAAUCGCGACGGGGGGAUCCCAAGUGCCAUUCUUAACGGGAUGGCUUUUCAUUAGUGUAAAGAGCUUUUGGAAUAAGAGCUGGGCAAGACCGGUGCCAGCCGCCGCGGUAACACCGGCAGCUCUAGUGGUAGCAAUUUUUAUUGGGCCUAAAGCGUCCGUAGCCGGUUUAAUAAGUCUCUGGUGAAAUCCUGUAGCUUAACUGUGGGAAUUGCUGGAGAUACUAUUAGACUUGAGACCGGGAGAGGUUAGAGGUACUCCCAGGGUAGAGGUGAAAUUCUGUAAUCCUGGGAGGACCGCCUGUUGCGAAGGCGUCUAACUGGAACGGUUCUGACGGUGAGGGACGAAAGUUAGGGGCGCGAACCGGAUUAGAUACCCGGGUAGUCCUAACUGUAAACGAUGCGGACUUGGUGUUGGGGUGGCUUUGAGCUGCUCCAGUGCCGAAGGGAAGCUGUUAAGUCCGCCGCCUGGGAAGUACGGUCGCAAGACUGAAACUUAAAGGAAAU
rnacentral:rRNA from 1 species